rnacentral:rRNA from 1 species
GCAUAUCAAUAAGCGGAGGAAAAGAAACCAACAGGGAUUGCCUUAGUAACGGCGAGUGAAGCGGCAAUAGCUCAAAUUUGAAAGCUGGCCCCUUCGGGGUCCGCGUUGUAAUUUGUAGAGGAUGAUUCGGCGAGGGCUCCCGUCUAAGUCCCUUGGAACAGGGCGUCAUAGAGGGUGAGAAUCCCGUAUGUGAUGGGCUGCCUUAGCCAUGUGAAUCUCCUUCGACGAGUCGAGUUGUUUGGGAAUGCAGCUCUAAAUGGGAGGUAAAUUUCUUCUAAAGCUAAAUACCGGCCAGAGACCGAUAGCGCACAAGUAGAGUGAUCGAAAGAUGAAAAGCACUUUGGAAAGAGAGUUAAAAAGUACGUGAAAUUGUUGAAAGGGAAGCGCUUGCAGCCAGACUUGUCCGCAGUUGCUCAGCUUGUCUCCUGACAGGCGUACUCUUCUGCGGCCAGGCCAGCAUCAGUUCGGGCGGUCGGAUAAAGACCUAGGGAAUGUAGCUCCUCUCGGGGAGUGUUAUAGCCCUGGGUGCAAUGCGGCCAGCCUGGACUGAGGAUCUCGCUUCGGCUAGGAUGCUGGCGUAAUGGCUGUAAGCGGCCCGUCUUGAAACACGGACCAAGGAGUCUAACAUCUAUGCGAGUGUUUGGGUGUCAAACCCAUGCGCGUAAUGAAAGUGAACGGAGGUGGGAACCCUCACGGGUGCACCAUCGACCGAUCCUGAUGUCUUCGGAUGGAUUUGAGUAAGAGCAUAGCUGUUGGGACCCGAAAGAUGGUGAACUAUGCCUGAAUAGGGUGAAGCCAGAGGAAACUCUGGUGGAGGCUCGCAGCGGUUCUGACGUGCAAAUCGAUCGUCAAAUUUGGGUAUAGGGGCGAAAGACUAAUCGAACCAUCUAGUAGCUGGUUCCUGCGA